GACGAACGCUGGCGGCGUGCCUAAUACAUGCAAGUGGGACGCAAGGGAACACACCGUGCUUGCACACCGUGUUUUCUUGAGUCGCGAACGGGUGAGUAACGCGUAGGUAACCUGCCUAUUAGCGGGGGAUAACUAUUGGAAACGAUAGCUAAUACCGCAUAAUAUUAAUUAUUGCAUGAUAAUUGAUUGAAAGAUGCAAGCGCAUCACUAGUAGAUGGACCUGCGUUGUAUUAGCUAGUUGGUAAGGUAAGAGCUUACCAAGGCGACGAUACAUAGCCGACCUGAGAGGGUGAUCGGCCACACUGGGACUGAGACACGGCCCAGACUCCUACGGGAGGCAGCAGUAGGGAAUCUUCGGCAAUGGACGAAAGUCUGACCGAGCAACGCCGCGUGAGUGAAGAAGGUUUUCGGAUCGUAAAGCUCUGUUGUAAGUCAAGAACGUGUGUGAGAGUGGAAAAGUUCACACAGU
rnacentral:rRNA from 1 species